GAUGAACGCUGGCGGCGUGCCUAAUACAUGCAAGUCGAGCGAACGGACGAGAAGCUUGCUUCUCUGAUGUUAGCGGCGGACGGGUGAGUAACACGUGGAUAACCUACCUAUAAGACUGGGAUAACUUCGGGAAACCGGAGCUAAUACCGGAUAAUAUUUUGAACCGCAUGGUUCAAAAGUGAAAGACGGUCUUGCUGUCACUUAUAGAUGGAUCCGCGCUGCAUUAGCUAGUUGGUAAGGUAACGGCUUACCAAGGCAACGAUGCAUAGCCGACCUGAGAGGGUGAUCGGCCACACCGGAACUGAGACACGGUCCAGACUCCUACGGGAGGCAGCAGUAGGGAAUCUUCCGCAAUGGGCGAAAGCCUGACGGAGCAACGCCGCGUGAGUGAUGAAGGUCUUCGGAUCGUAAAACUCUGUUAUUAGGGAAGAACAUAUGUGUAAGUAACUGUGCACAUCUUGACGGUACCUAAUCAGGAAGCCACGGCUAACUACGUG
rnacentral:rRNA from 1 species